CCUACGGGUGGCAGCAGUGGGGAAUAUUGCACAAUGGGGGAAACCCUGAUGCAGCGACGCCGCGUGAGUGAAGAAGUAAUUCGUUACGUAAAGCUCUAUCAGCAGGGAAGAAACACUGACCUUACGGUCAGCAGACGGUCCCUGAGUAAGAAGCCCCGGCUAACUACGUGCCAGCAGCCGCGGUAAUACGUAGGGGGCAAGCGUUAUCGGGGUUUACUGGGUGUAAAGGGGGCGUAGACGGUGCGCCACGUCUGGAGUGAAAUGCCGCAGCUUAACUGCGGAACUGCUUUGGAAACUGGCGAACUAGAGUGCGGGAGGGGUAAGCGGAAUUCCUAGUGUAGCGGUGAAAUGCGUAGAUAUUAGGAGGAACACCAGUGGCGAAGGCGGCUUACUGGACUGUAACUGACGUUGAGGCUCGAAAGCGUGGGGAGCAAACAGGAUUAGAUACCCCAGUAGUC
rnacentral:rRNA from 1 species